rnacentral:rRNA from 1 species
GACGGAGGAUGCAAGCGUUAUCCGGAAUGAUUGGGCGUAAAGCGUCCGCAGGUGGCAGUUCAAGUCUGCUGUCAAAGACCGGGGCUUAACUUCGGAAAGGCAGUGGAAACUGAACAGCUAGAGUAUGGUAGGGGCAGAGGGAAUUCCUGGUGUAGCGGUGAAAUGCGCAGAUAUCAGGAGGAACACCGGUGGCGAAGGCGGAUCUCUGGGCCUUACCUGACGCUGAGGCGCGAAAGCUAGGGGAGCGAACAGG